AGGUUUGCUGGCUUGGUUCUAAGGUUUGGGCUUGUAGUGGUCCUUGUCUCUGCUGUGAGGCUGUAUCUACACGUUUAUUUCAGUUUCUCGUAGGUUCAUGUCUUUCUAAAGGUUUCAUUUGGAGGUGAAGGUCAAUGCAGAACUGUAGAGUAAGAUGCCUUAUGGUGAAAUUGAAGCUAAAUCCUUGCGAUGUGGGAAAGAACUAACAAGUGAACCAUGUUAUAAAAAAUUUAAGUCAACUGAAGAAGCUUAUGUUUUUCCCCAUCCUGGUAAUGCUAAUUUUUACAAAAUUCAACAGAAAACUGGAAAUGAUUGGGUCUCUGUCACCAAAGUUGAUGUCAGAAAGCAUAGUUAUUCUCAAGAGGAUAAACCCAAAACUACAGACUUGCACAAACCUGUUCACAGUGAGAAACCUGGAAAUAGGCCAGGUGUUACUAGAUCCAUUGGUUCACAAGUUUUACAGGGUACAAGGCCUACAUUGGUAUCCAGAGAUGAUGAGAUAUAUAGCACAAGUAAAGCAUUUAUAGGACCCCUUUACAAACCCCCUGAGAAAAAAACUUAUAGUAAAAAGAAGAAACAAACAGACACUGUCAAUGGUAUAGAUGGCAAAGGAAGACAAGAACAGAAACAGAAAUUUAACUUAAAAAAAUCAGAGAUUGACAAUGAAUUAUUUCAGUUUUACAAAGAAAUUGAAGAGCUUGAAAAUGAAAAGGAUGAUACAGAAGGGAUUUGUAAGGAAUCUGAACCCUCUGGGGAUGAGUUCAUUCCAUGUUACCAGGACAAUAAUAACGAUCUGUUAAAGUCUGAAGAAGAGAAGAAAACAGACUUUACUAAUCCUCCUCAGUCACACUGUGAUUAUCAAACGAAUGUAGGGAAUGAACCAGACAAAUAUCUUUGUAAUGGACAAGUAAAAAUUACAUCUUGUGACCUUUCAUCGACUUCUUUCAAGUCUGAAUGGCCAUCAGGACAUUCUUUUUUAGCAUCCCAAGAUCCUCUUCCCAGUUUUGACUAUCAAAAAGUCAGUACUCCACCCAGUCCACCACCAAAUACUUUUCAUCCUCACAAUGGCUCGCUUAUGCAAAAUGGAUAUUACGUAAAUAAUUGUAAUGUUAACUGGAAUUGUUCGACUUUUGAUCCAAACAAAGAAUAUAUUGAUUGUAGUGAGAGUAGAAAUGGCUGUAGUGGACAACCUGGUUAUGUUGAUAAUGGUUUCUAUGAAACUGGUGAAGGAUGCUGGAAAGACCCUUCUAUGGACACAUGUAAUAGAACAGACAGAUUUAUGAACGAACCAUUUCAAGAGGAAAAGUUAAAUAAAUUGCAGAAGUUACUUAUUUUAUUAAGAGGCUUGCCUGGUUCUGGGAAAACGACGUUAUCUCGAAUUCUGCUUGGUCAGAGUCCUGAUGGCAUUGUGUUCAGCACUGAUGACUAUUUUCACCAUCAAGAUGGGUACAGGUAUAAUGUUAAUCAACUUGGUGAUGCUCAUGACUGGAACCAGAACAGAGCAAAACAAGCCAUCAAUCAGGGGCGAUCUCCAGUUAUAAUAGACAACACUAAUAUACAAGCUUGGGAAAUGAAACCAUAUGUGGAAAUGGCCAUAGAAAAAGGAUACAAAGUAGAGUUUCAUGAACCUGAAACUUGGUGGAAAUUUGAUCCUGAAGAAUUAGAAAAGAGGAAUACACAUGGUGUGUCUCGAAAGAAGAUUGCUCAGAUGUUGGAUCGUUAUGAAUAUCAAAUGUCCAUCUCUAUUGUAAUGAAUUCAGUGGAACCAACACACAAAAGCACACAAAGAACUUCUCCUUCAUAGGGGAGUCAGGUAGAGAGUUUUGAAGUAAACUGGGCACACACUAAGCAAAGUCUGGCAGAAGAGAAACAGGAAAAGAAACAAAAGCUGAACAUUCAAAGUAGAACUAUGGAAAAAAAUUCACUUGAAAAUUUAAGUUAUCCUAUACCAGGAAUCCAGAAUCCAUCUCAGAGUGAAGAGGAUGACUUAGGAAAAGACCAACAGAGAAUCUGCCACUUUCACUGGUUGUCAGGGAAAUGAACUACGGGAUUUAAUAAAUGUCCAUGAAGAAGAACCGUACAAAAAGAUAAAUCCUAAAGUGACUUUCCCAAAUGUUUAUAAUUGAGUUGGCUGGCCAGUAUACCAAAGAAUUACCUUCAUAAGGAGGAUGAUGACUUAUUUCUGUUUAUGUAGUGCUAAAGGAAAGCUCUGUGUUUGUCCAACAGUGAAUGAAAAUUUCACCUCUGUAACACGUGAUGACUGCUCUGGCAUGAAGGUAGAAAAUUAUAUUAGAUAGCACUAUAUCAUAGCAUUGUAUAGCCAGGACCAAAUUUUAGAUGUCCCUGAUCAUUUAUGAAGAAAACCAAUAUGGUAGAUAAAAGUUUCCUGAAUGAAACAAUUCUAUAUAGUUAGGAUCCACAACUUCCUAUAAAGUUUUGAGAAAGAGCAUAGUGUAAAUACAACUGAAAACACUUAACUUUUUUUCUCAACUUAUUUGAUGGAGAAUUACAAGUGGGCUCUGAUAAGACAACACUAUAUUGAUAGCUGGCCUGAGGGACCUCUUAAGUUUAUAUAUGUUAAGAGUGACCAAAGAAAGAUAGACAUUUGGCUUGUCCUGACAGCUGGGACAAUUGAUUAAAUUGAUCUCCACUUAUAAAGGAACCAAGAAAAAGUCUGGAAACAUUGGUGGAGAAGCUUUUGAUAGAAAUUGAAGACUUGUGACCCCCAAUUGAGACUCUGGAUUCAUUCAUAGAAACAGAAAUAUAUCUUCAAAAGCGGCUUACUUACACUGGAGUAUAGAAAGUGGCAGAAAGCAAUUUUCAGUUGGCACCAAAAUUUAACUUACUGGGAUGAAAUCAUUUCUGUUAUAACAUAAUGUAACCUGUUAACAGAAAACCAUGGACUAAAAAUUAUUUCAGAAGAAAAAAUACUCAGAAACAAAUAAUGGAUAAUAAACAAAACCUUAAGAACUUCAGUCACCAAUCAUGUUUUUCCUUGAUGUCAUCAAAGAACCUUCUCUAAAUGUUGAGUCUUGUUGCCAAAUGUCUAUGUGGUUCUCCUCAACUGAAAGACACUGAAGAUGCUCAGUUUGCAUGGAAGACAUCAGUAAAGGCUCCUGACAUCAUAAAGAAAGCUAGAGCUGGGGCAUUAUCUACAUCACUUCUGAAGCUGAUGAAAUGACAGUUGCAACAGGACUUUCCCAGGGCCCUGAUUUUCAGCACAGAUGAUUUUUUCUUCAGGGAAGAUGGUGCCUACGAGUUCA